rnacentral:rRNA from 1 species
UACGGAGGGGGCUAGCGUUGUUCGGAAUUACUGGGCGUAAAGCGCACGUAGGCGGAUUGGUAAGUUAGAGGUGAAAGCCUGGAGCUCAACUCCAGAAUUGCCUUUAAGACUGCCGAGCUAGCAGGUGAGAGAGGUGAGUGGAAUUCCGAGUGUAGAGGUGAAAUUCGUAGAUAUUCGGAAGAACACCAGUGGCGAAGGCGGCUCACUGGCUCAUACUGGACGCUGAGGUGCGAAAGCGUGGGGAGCAAACAGG